GGGCGGAUAGCUCAGCGGGAGAGCACCUGCCUUACACGCAGGGGGUCGUAGGUUCGAAACCUACUCCGCCCACCA
rnacentral:tRNA from 1 species